AAACCGCCCCCUAAGUUUUACAACUGUAGCAGUUUUGGUCCCCCAAGGAAAAAAAACAAAAAAAAAACAUGUGGCACCUCACUUAGGGUGCCACGUCAGCGUAGACCGAAUCAAAAUUGGUCUUGGGGGCCAAAACCGCCACAUGUGCAAAACUUAAGGGGCGGUUU
rnacentral:pre_miRNA from 1 species